CCCUUAGAUGUUCUGGGCCGCACGCGCGCUACACUGAUGCAUUCAACGAGUCUAAAACCUGCUCUGAUAGGGGUGGGUAAUCUUUUGAAUGUGCAUCGUGAUUGGGAUAGAUGAUUGCAAUUUUUCAUCUUCAACGAGGAAUGCCUAGUAAACGCAAGUCAUCAGCUUGCAUUGAUUACGUCCCUGCCCUUUGUACACACCGCCCGUCGCUCCUACCGAUUGAAUGAUCCGAUGAAUAUCAUGGAUUGAGGAUGCAAGUAGGUUCGCCUAUCUUCAUCUUCGAGAAGUGAAGUAAAUCUUAUCAUUUAGAGGAAGGCGAAGUCGUAACA
rnacentral:rRNA from 1 species